CUUCGGACUUAGUGGCGCACGGGUGCGUAACGCGUGGGAAUCUGCCCUUGGGUACGGAAUAACUCAGAGAAAUUUGUGCUAAUACCGUAUAAUGUCUUCGGACCAAAGAUUUAUCGCCCAAGGAUGAGCCCGCGUAAGAUUAGCUAGUUGGUGAGGUAAGAGCUCACCAAGGCGACGAUCUUUAGCUGGUCUGAGGGGAUGAUCAGCCACACUGGGACUGAGACACGGCCCAGACUCCUACGGGAGGCAGCAGCG
rnacentral:rRNA from 1 species